rnacentral:rRNA from 1 species
UGGGGGAAUAUUGGGCAAUGGGCGCAAGCCUGACCCAGCAACGCCGCGUGAAGGAAGAAGGCUUUCGGGUUGUAAACUUCUUUUCUCAGGGACGAAGAAAGUGACGGUACCUGAGGAAUAAGCCACGGCUAACUACGUGCCAGCAGCCGCGGUAAUACGUAGGUGGCAAGCGUUAUCCGGAUUUACUGGGUGUAAAGGGCGUGUAGGCGGGACUGCAAGUCAGAUGUGAAAACUCAGGGCUCAACCCUGAGCCUGCAUUUGAAACUGUAGUUCUUGAGUAUUGGAGAGGCAGACGGAAUUCCUAGUGUAGCGGUGAAAUGCGUAGAUAUCACGAAGAACUCCGAUUGCGAAGGCAGCUGACGGUAGCGCAACUGACGCUGAGGCUCGAAAGUGCGGGUAUCGAACAGGAUUAGAUACCCUGGUAGU